CUUGGUCAUUUAGAGGAAGUAAAAGUCGUAACAAGGUUUCCGUAGGUGAACCUGCGGAAGGAUCAUUACUGAGUGAAAGGCUUGAACCAAAGCCCCAUCUCCCAACCCUUGUCUUCUGUACCCACUUUGCUUUGGCAGGCCCGCCACUAUUGUGGCCGCUGAAGGUUUCUUAGUUAUAAAUUAUUAGCUAAACCUUGGGCCUGUGCCUGCCAGGGAACUUAAAUACGUGUCAUAACUGGUUUGUCUGAGAAUCCAAAGAAAAUAAACUAAAACUUUCAACAACGGAUCUCUUGGUUCUGGCAUCGAUGAGGAACGCAGCGAAAUGCGACAAGUAAUGUGAAUUGCAGAAUUCCGUGAAUCAUCGAAUCUUUGAACGCACAUCGCGCCCUCUGGUAUUCCGGAGGGCAUGCCUGUCCGAGCGUCAUUGCUAUACCUCAAGCCCGGCUUGUAUGUUGGGCUUACUGUCUUGUUGGACAGUGGCCCGAAAGGCAGAGGCAGGGUUGUAGUCCGGUCUUUUCAAUGCGUAUGGGGCAUUGUCACCCGCUUGAAGGCUGGCCGAUCCUCUAUGCCUAUUGUGGAUUUUAUCCACCAUCAAUUUUUUUCUGAUGGACCUCGGAUCAGGUAGGGAUACCCGCUGAACUUAAGCAUAUCAAUAAGCGGAGGA
rnacentral:rRNA from 1 species